ACUUCAACUUCCUUCGAUAACCCAUCAAACUCAACCUUCAUCCCAUCCAUCUCCAGGUAAAUUUCAACUAAACGAUUACUCAACGAUACUAGCAACAAGCUCUUCUAUUAAUUUUUUUUUUUUUUUUGUUUGUGCCUAUAGUGGAAUGGUGGGAUAAUUUUGGACAAUCAACUCCAAACUUGCAAAAAUUUGCUGUGAGAAUUUUAGGUCUUACUUGUAGUGCUUCUGGAUGCGAGCGUAAUUGGAGUGUGUUUGAACAGCUUCAUAGCAAGAAACGAAAUAGGCUUGCUCAAAGUCGUUGAAUGAUCUAGUGUUCAUCAAAUACAACAGAGCACUAAAACGUCGAUACAACCUACGAGAUAUUGUCGACCCCAUCUCCUUGAAAGAUAUUGAUGAUAGUAAUGAAUGGUUGAUUGGAAGAUUGGAUGACGAUUCUGAGGAGGAUGAUGAGUUGGUAUUUAAUGAUGAUUCUUUAACGUGGGGUGAUGUUUCUAGAGCUGUCGGAGCAAAAGAACCAUCAUUCUAUUCUAGAGCUAGUACCUCUAGACCAAAGACUAUUGUUUCAUGUUCAUCCUCGUCUACCACGCAACGGAAACAAGUAAAUUUAGAUGACUUCGAUUUGGAAGAAGAAGAUACUGAUGGCUAUAAGUCUAACGAAGGAUUGAAUGAAGACGAGGAUCAAUUUAGUGAUGAUGAGUUUGAUCUUUAGGGAUGAACUUUUAUUUUGAUUAUUGACUUGUUGAAUACUGGGUAGUUUUUUGUUGUGUUUUGUUGUUUAGGCUACUUAUAUUGGGUACCUAUAUUUUAUACAUUGUUGCUCUGCUAUA